CACGUAGGGACCAAGCGUUGUCCGGAUUCAUUGGGCGUAAAGAGCUCGUAGGCGGUUCGAUAAGUCGGGUGUGAAACCUCCAGGCUCAACCUUCAGAGGUCGACCGAAACCAUCUGGCUAGAGUCCGGGAGAGGAGAGUGGAAUUCCUGGUGUAGCGGUGAAAUGCGCAGAUAUCAGGAAGAACACCCGUGGCGAAAGCGGCUCUCUGGAACGGUACUGACGCUGAGACGCGAAAGCGUGGGGAGCGAACAGG
rnacentral:rRNA from 1 species